rnacentral:tRNA from 1 species
GCCUGGCUGGUUCAGUUGGAAGAGCAUGUGACUCUAGAUCUUGGGGUUGUGAGUUCAAGCCCCAUGUUGGGUA